UGAGGAAUACAUCUGAAUCUCCUUUUUCUUGGGGGAUAACGUACGGAAACUUACGCUAAUACCCCACACGACCUACAGGUGAGAGCACGGGAUCUUCUGACCUUUCGCGAUUGAAUGAGCCGAUUUCCGAGUAUCUAGUUGGCGGGGUAAAGGCCCACCAAGGCGACCAUACAUAUCUGGUCUCAGAGGAUGAUAAACCACACUGCGAACUGAGACACGACUCCACACUCCUACCGGAGGCGGCACUGGGGAAUAUUUGACAAUGGGCGCACGCCUGAUCCACCCAUACCGCGUGGGUGAAGAAAGCCUUCCGGUUGUAAAGCCCUUUUGUUGGGAAAGAAAUCCAGCCGGCUAAUACCUGGUUGGGAUGACAGUACCCAAAGAAUAAGCACCGGCUAACUUCGUGCCAGCAGCCGC
rnacentral:rRNA from 1 species